rnacentral:lncRNA from 1 species
GUUUAACAAUAUGGGCAGUGAGCAGAGUACAGUGGUGUCUAUCUGUGAUAAGGGUGUAGUUAACUGGACCCUGGAGCCGAGAAAGAACAUCAGCACCCAAGAGGUUAAUGGGACAAGUAGAAGAAACAACAAAACGUGAGAGUAUGUGUGAACCAACAUGCAGGAGUGUAGGGAGGGGGCUACUGCGGGGUGUACCAUCCACCCCAACACAGGAGACAUCGGUGUCUGACAAAAAGGAGGGGUCAUGGCAGGGGUUGCUGACACAGGCUUGCCGGUAACCUAUUGCAGUAAAUCUAAAUGGGCCUGGUCGGGUCCUUGGUACCGGCGGGUAGAAGUGGGAGGGUGGCUGGACUGCAUAGGAGCACGGGCAAGGCGGCUUUGUCGAGGUAGGGGCUGAAUAUCUUGGAAACCACCCGUGUCAAACCCAUCAGCGGGAGCUGGAGGGUAUGCACGGGCCUCUAAAGCAGGGGGCCGGCUGGGAUGGGCGUGAUAGGUGAGUAUUAAGGGUGGGAGGAGGUGGAGGAGGAGGAGGUAAAUCAGUGGGAGGUGGGGCAGGAAUCGCGGAAUUAACCAGGGAGGUAACAGCAGAGAAGAGGGCGGAUGUCGAGCUAGACAGGUCAUUGGCCAUGGUUGGAUCAGGGGUCACCGGGGGAGAGGUCGGAGGGAUGGGAACAGGGGGCUGGGUCGUAACAGCGUGGGUAAACCAGUCGGGGGAGGAGGAGACAACGAGGUAGAGGGGGCCGGGACUUCGGGAGGAGGAGGUAACACUGGAGAAGGGGUGGUAACGGGGGGUUGGGUCAGGGCGGUGAGGGCAGAAAUCAGGGACGGCAAAUCGGCCGAGGGAGGAGGAGGCAACGAGGUAGAGGGGACCGGGAUAUCGGGAGGGGGGUACCACUGGAGAAGGGGUUGGAGGGGUGGGAACGGGGGGCUGGGUCAGGGCAGUGAGGGCAGAGAUUAGGGACGGCAAAUCAGUCGGGAGGGGAGGGGACAACGAGGUAGAAGAGAGGUCCGGAGGCAUAAGGGAAGCGGGAUCAGCGGGAGGACAAGGGUCUGGAGGAUCUGGGGCGGUGGGGUGAGUAAGGUCGAGAGGGCAGAGAGCGGGGCAGCGGAUGGAGACGGGUGAGUGGGUAACACUGGGGAGGGGUCAGUCGAGGUGGAGAGGGGACGAGAGGCAAGCAUAGGUAAAGGUGGCGGGGGACAGGGAGGCGGAGGAAUGUCAUUUAACGUAAAGGAUGUUACUGUAAACAUACGAUUUGUAACUAGCAAGAUUCUAUUAAGUAAAGAUACAAUGUUUAAAAUAACUUGCAUUAUUUUGCAAUAUCCCUUGUUGCAAGACACAGGCAUUAAUGAAUAAUCAUCAGGAUAAUUAGCUGUAAUGCUCUUAUAUUCGUGCCCUACAGAACUCAUUUGUAGGUCACACCACAGGUGCAAAUGACUCUUUAGCAACCUCUUUUUUUUUUUUUUUUUUAAAUAUCACGGACACAUCUCUGAUACAGGGAAACAAAUGGCAUGAUUGUUUUAGUAAUUAUAACGUUUCAGUUCAUAAUAUGUAGAGCGUAAGGAAAACAACAUGUCUCUAAAUAGGACGAGCAUAAUAGGGGUAGGCCUCAUGAUGGAGGCAGCCAUGACAGGGGCGGGGAAGGAAAUGACAGCAAGGGAGGAAGUGAAGUCCAUGAUAUGUGAGGGAAAGGAAGACAGGAGGUGUGGGCAUGGUAAGGGCGGAAGUGACGUUACUUUAGAAGCAACCGUGACUGUAGAUAGGUCACAGGACUGGCAGGGUCAACCUCCUUCUGUACUAGGCGCCAUCUUUAGGGUGGUGGCUGACGUACUUUCAACAAUACACCAUAUUAUAACUAAUAAAAUAAGUCAGAGAAGCAACAUUCCGUUCUGCAAAAUGAAAUAUUAAACUAUGAAC